UAUCUGCAGUUUCAAGGUGAGAGUUUAUUAUCAUGUUGACUUCCUUAAAACCGCCCAUGAUUUUGCAAAUAUCUUCCUUGAUAACACAUCUCAAGUCCCUGCAAAGCGCAAAGUGAUUCACCAGCUUCCCCACGGUGUUCAGCGUCCCGCUAUUACAGAUUCCAUUUGAUUCUACCGUUUUAAUCCAGAGAAGCGCAGAUCUGAUGCAUUCAAAUAUGAAUGAAGAUAAAAUAAUCCAGCCUUCCAUCUGAUGAAGAUUACCAAGAUUAUCCAGAUGAUGAUUGGCACGUAUCGGAUCUGAGAAAGGAACCAGAUCUUGGAAAUUCCAGUUUUAGGUUGAAGCAAGAAUUCGCUAUCACAUAAUGGAUGCAACCAUUGCUUUGAUACUCAUAUAUGGGAGUGGCCAUAUCAAUUUCCAAAGCCAUCAGAUUCAUCUCUCCUUUGCGUGAUGAUUACCAACCUGCUGCUCGCGAAGAUAGGCAGCUUGCUUCCUCUAAUAAAUAACCCCACUCUCUUUAUUUUCUCGUUUAAUUUGCGGUUGUGUUAGUCUGAAAUCAAGCUUAUUUUCUGCAUUACAACAACAAAGUCUGUUGAUAAACGUAUUACGCUAACUACAUAUAAGAAUUGUUUUUUUUUUUUGGUCUAUUAAUAGGACUACACAACAUUUUAGACAACCAUCACAUUUGGACACCCAACAAGGGCAAGUUGUGUCAGUUAUAUGAAUUUAUUUUAAUAUUUAUACACUACCAAUAUGACUGGCUAAAUCUCUAAUAUUGGUUAAACGAAUAUGGUCAUCUUAGUAUUGUAAAAACAAGUUGAAAUAUUUAGAAGAUGGAUCAUCAAUUUGAGUUAUCAAAUAAGAGAUCCAAAAAAUUAGAGGGCUAUCAUUGUCAAGGGACAGUGUUAGAUCCAAGAAGGGUUCAAUGCUUUAGCGAGAUUGAGACAAUGGAAGUUAUCUUAAAAUUGAAACCUGAGUGCUGCUACCCCCUA